AGAUGCUUGUAUGCAAACUGACAUAUGUUUUAUUAUUUUGCCCACUGUCAUUGGAAAGUAGGACUGAGUCCACCUUUUUUGCUGCCUCCUCACCCAAAAGAGAUACAGACAUCCCUCAGGCAGGCAGGCUUUGAUGAGCUCCUCUCCUAUACUGUGGGGAUUCUUUGCCGUGGCUAUAUUUAGGCUCACUUGGUAUGAAGCUUUGAGGAUAGCUCUGUUCCCUUUGAAUGCAUGUUUGUGGGCAGAGAAAGCCUUUUGUAAAAAAACCCCCACCUACAAUGAACUGUAGCUCCCUUCAGUAACCACGAGCACAACCGUUCCUUGAUUUUAACUGGCGGCUUUAUUCUGUUUUAGUCAGAAUUAUCACCUUCCGUGAGAACUAUAAAGUAAAUGAAAAAUACAGUUAAGCACACUCUUACAACUUUAUCUUACGAGUGACUUAUUAGCUUGGUAUAACUCUGAAGUGCUUACAUACAUAACAGUUUAACCGGCGUUAUAACGGGUUCAGAUUAAACACAUGAAUAAAGGAAAAAAUACCUCAUUGGCUGCUUAUUACAGAAGGGAGGAAAUCAAACUUCACACUUAUUAUUCCUGGCAUGAAUUCACACUUCAUCCUAACAUACACUCUUCAACCUUUAUGAACUACACCCGAUGACAUGAAAACUUAGCUAAUGCAGCGCAGGAUUGCCUUCCCUCCAAAAGUGUGUUGCUACAAUAAGGAUCCCCGUUACAACAGUAUUAGCUACGUAGUUCCGCUUGUAUUAUCAUUUCCCCCGCACAGCGGACACAUAAACAAUUCAAACAAAAGACAACGACAUAACCUGGUAACGUUAGUUAUUAGCCGAGUACGAGGGGAUUGUUUGAAAGAGAAACUCACAUCUACUUCUAUGAGAGAUGGUGCUCCCUUAUUUCUGCUCAUCACCUGUUAUAAAAUGACAGCAAUGCCUUGCUAGCUGAAUUACUCUUCCGCCGUCGAAGCAUUCUGCCCUGUUCUGAAAGAACUCCCUGGGUGUAACGUUACCGUCAGCCUGUGGAUGUUAAAGUCAGGACGUGUCGUUUUAAUUUGUUCGUUUUGAGAGACUCAUUCCUAAGCACAAAACACAUCGAGGGCGAUCCUCGUUAUUUCUCAAAAUGUAUACAAAACCAAGAGAGAGAAACUCAUCGCUGUUUUUGCGUUUCAUGACGAUUGAGCUCAGUCAGAACCUGUGGCUGGCUUGAGUCCAUUUGAUGGCAGCUGAAAGUGAUGGCGAGUUGGAACGACAAGUCAGUGGCUGACAGCACAUCAUCUGCUACUGAACAACAGAGCUGCAGCGCGAGGGUCGCGGAGUGAUCUUCAAGAAAACUGCAGAAAAAAAGAUCCAGUAAACGACGAAGCACCACAGGCUAGUGAUGGACAUUCCGGCUCUUUUGAGUGACCCGGUUCGCUCUGCUCAGCUCACCAAAAAGAGACGUCUCUUUGGCUCUCAAACGGCUCUUUAAAAUAUAUGUGUUUUGUGUUUUUUAAAGUCAAACAGUUUGCGAUAGUUUGACUAGGAUUGGUGUUAAAACAAUUCCAAUUAAAUUAUUAAAUGAAAUCAUACUCUACCUUUACCACAAUGUAUUUAAAAAUGCAUUGGUUUGUUAUGAAAAAUAAUGCUAUUAAACAUUUGCAUUUAAAGUACAACUUUUUAAUGUAUAUAAACAAAGUGCAUAUAAAUCUAACACACUCAAAACGAAUAUAAUCUGAACAGCAUAAUAGAAUACUGCACCAUAUGAAAUAAAAAUAAAUAACAAUUUGCAAAACUGCAGCAUCCCACAAUUUGAAAUAAAUGUAAAAAAAGAUGGAUACUAUUACACAUGUCCAUUUAAAGUAUAACUUUUUUAAUGUAUAUAAACAAAGUGCAUAUAAAUGUAACAAUUCAAAACAAAUGCAAUUUGAACAACGUAAUAUAUAUAGAAUAUUGCACCAUAUCAAAGAAAAAUAAAUAACAAUGUGCAAAACUGCAGUAUCCCACUUAAAACAUUAAACUGGUCCCUCUUUUCUCUCUCUUCUUUAUUGCCAUGUUAUAACCAACAGCACACAGCAAUACUGACCAGAUUGAGCUUUUAUGAGAGAUUUGCAUUCAGAAAUGCAAGCUGCCUCACUUUCGAGGGGCUGAUGCGGUUUCGUCUCUCAGUAAUUAUUUGUCCCGUUUUCGGGAAGACCCUCUCAGAGGGAACAGAUUUGGCCACUAUUCAGAGUCUCCCUGUCAUGACUUUAGUAAGCCGUGGGUAGACAGAGUCCUUGUUCUUCCAACAGCUCAGAGGAUCUGCAGAUCUUAGGAGGACUUUCUGUUGGACACCCUGUGUUCAGAUAAAUUAGUCCUGACUGAAGAGCCCGUCGAGACCUGGCACAUCCAGCAGAGGGUGUCCAUCAACUCUGUCCUGUGGUUACAUUUGCUUCUCUCUGGCAGCUGGCUGUGAUUCGCUGCAGACCCUUACACAGGAGUAUCAUUUUUGAGGCUGUCACAUAGCUGAAAAGAGAGAACAGUAACUUAUUAGUCCAGUUUCAUGUUUUGUCUACUGACACUACAUUCUAAUAUACUGCUCAUAUACAUAUAUAAUACUGGAUUAAAUAAUGAUGUAGUAAUAACUGCUUACUGUACCUCUCUCCACUGAUCUGGACUCUGCACACCUCCCCCACCACCUCCCAUUCCUCUUGGGUCAGAGCAUCAACAGGUGCAUUAAGAAUGGCCAGGGUAGAGAUGAUGGCAUCCUUUGACUCAAGAAACCACUUCAACAUUUAACAUGUUGAAUUCAACCUUGUAGUGCAGCCUUGUUUAGGCCUCAGCUCAGGCAUCCCCAUCUGACGUUGUGUAGACUUUAGUUUUUCGGCACCUUCUGUGCUCCUGUGGAAGUAUUCCACAGCUACUUUCACUUUGUCCACGGUGGGCUUCAUCACCUUCAGAACAUCUCUUACAAUCAGGUUGAUUGUGUGUGCAAGACAUGGCUCUUAGACCCGACUCGUUUGCGACCGACCCAUCACUAACACAGGCAUCUUUCUCCCACUCUCGCUGCUGCCAAACUGAGCUGAGAUACCGCUGCUAAACAGUGAGCGCAGUUGCACUUGUCCAAAUCAAUUCCAGUAAAUAAUUUGUUUAUUAUACAUUUACACUUCGCAACCCACCAUUAACAGGUCCGUCGCGACCUAUACUUUAAGAAAGGCUACUUUAGGAAGUAUGAGAGCACAGACGGUCGCUUCGCCUAUCCGAGUUUAGCUAGGAGCAAACCGAACCUAUGUAUGAGGCUGCCUUAACAUUGGAGCUGAUAGAGUACUAUCUAAUACCCAUAAAAUCUAGUGGUCAAACAAGUAAAUGUUUCCAGUAAUUUUUCCACUAUUCAUAGGAGAUUUUAGAAACACUUAAAAUAAGGGCUGAGUUUAGUGUAUGCUUACCCUAGCAUGACGUUUUGAUAAACGUGUAAAUCUCUCUAGGGCAAGGUGACUUUUAUCAAUAUAUUCGCCUGUAUUCACACUGUCACGACUUCUAUUGAAGUCGGUUCCUCUCCUUGUUCGGGUGGGGUUCGGCGGUCGACGUCACCGAUCUUCUAGCCAUCGCCGAUCCAUUUGUCAUUUUCCAUUGUGUUGGAAAGUGUUGUCUUGUUUUCCCACACACCUGUUUUUCAUUCCCUCAUUGCAUGUUGUGUAUUUAACCCUCUGUUCCCCCCAUGUCUUGUGUGGUAUUGUUUGUUGUAAGUGCUUGUGCACAUGCUGACUGGUGCGGGCCGGGUUUUGUACCCAUGUUGUUAUUUUCUUGAUGCCGUUGGUUUUGGUAUUAAACUGUUCUGGCUAUUACCUA